CUGGUCCAUUUUAUACUUCAUCUGAUUUACCAAUCCAGUGACAGUAUUGUUUGCUACUUCCCCCUCCUGGGCACUCACUUCUCCCGUUCGGACAGGCACUGGUCUAGGUCUCGGUUCAGGCUUUACCAGAACCUGGCACUUAUCCUACGGGUGACUCCUGCCCGGGGCUUGUUAGGUGGGUGGUUUGGGUCAUUCCCAAUGUCCCCAUUGCAGCCCCAUUCCAGCCAUUCCAUGUUCCGGCUUUUAACUCUGCUCUGGCCACCACGUUCCCUUCCUGUCCCCAUUGUUCAGACACUACAAAAGUGCCCAGAGUUUGUUGUUGCCCAGCAAGACUCAGAGCAGGGGGCGGCAGGUCCCUCUGUCGCAGGUUCUCUACAGCUGUUUCCAACCAUCUAUGCUGCUCCGGGGCCUGCCGUAAGCAAACCAGGAGCACUUUCCCCGGCGGGCCCAUGGGGCAGAGUUUGCAGCCGGAGCUGUCCGGGGAGAGGAGCGGUGGAAGGAAGCCGGGUGAGAUGGCAGAGGAGGGCUCUGAGCUGGAAAGGGGCCUCCAUGCCAUCGUGGGUAGCUUCUACAGAUACGCCGAGGGCUCCGAGGGACCUAAGGAGCUGGACCAGGCGGCUUUCCAGACGUUGCUCUGCAACGAGCUGAGCCAUCAGCUCACGGUGAGACCCGGCUACUGGCACCCCAAGGCGACUGGAGACAUCAACCACUGGCUCCUAGCAAAGGGGGGUCUUUCUGUGACCCUCAGCCCUGCCCUCCAGCAUCCUGCUGUCCCUGCCCUGGGCUCCCCGCCAGCUCUACUGGUGCCCCUCAAUCCCGACCUACAGCCCCCUGCUGUCCCAGCGCGGGGCUCUCCCCACAACUCUGUGGGUUCCCCUCACUCCCAACCCAGAGACCCCGAUUAGCCCAGCCCUGGCUCC
rnacentral:lncRNA from 1 species